rnacentral:rRNA from 2 species
GGAUGCGAUCAUACCAGCACUAAAGCACCGGAUCCCAUCAGAACUCUGAAGUUAAGCGUGCUUGGGCGAGAGUAGCACUAGGAUGGUUGACCUCCUGGGAAGUCCUCGUGUUGCAUUCC